rnacentral:tRNA from 1 species
UGUUCAUGGAGCUCAGUGGUAGAGCACAGGUUUAGCAUGUGGGAGGCCCUGGGUUCAAUUCCCAGUACCAA